GACCUGGUAGUGUAUGGUAACACACCUGUUGCACGUAAUGCCCAUCACCGUAAUUCGGCAGGAGGACCCCGUUCGACUCGGGGCCAGGUCA